UCAUGCGAGAAGACCAACAGGGAUUGCCUCAGUAACGGCGAGUGAAGCGGCAACAGCUCAAAUUUGAAAUCUGGCCCUCGGGUCCGAGUUGUAAUUUGUAGAGGAUGCUUUUGGCGCGGUGCCUUCCGAGUUCCCUGGAACGGGACGCCUUAGAGGGUGAGAGCCCCGUACGGUUGGACACCAAGCCUCUGUAAAGCUCCUUCGACGAGUCGAGUAGUUUGGGAAUGCUGCUCUAAAUGGGAGGUAAAUUUCUUCUAAAGCUAAAUAUUGGCCAGAGACCGAUAGCGCACAAGUAGAGUGAUCGAAAGAUGAAAAGCACUUUGAAAAGAGGGUUAAAUAGCACGUGAAAUUGUUGAAAGGGAAGCGUUUGCGACCAGACCUUUUCCUGGCGGAUCAUCCGGUGUUCUCACCGGUGCACUUCGCCAGGUCGAGGCCAGCAUCGGUUUCCGCGGGGGGAUAAAAGCUCUGGGAACGUAGCUCCUCCGGGAGUGUUAUAGCCCUCUGCACAAUACCCCCGCGGGGACCGAGGACCGCGCUCUAAGCAAGGAUGCUGGCGUAAUGGUUGUCAACGACCCGUCUUGAAACACGGACCAAGGAGUCGAACAUUUGUGCGAGUGUUUGGGUGUCAAACCCUCACGCGUAAUGAAGGUGAACGUAGGUGAGAGCCCUUACGGGUGCAUCAUCGACCGAUCCUGAUGUCUUCGGAUGGAUUUGAGUAAGAGCAUAACUGUUCGGACCCGAAAGAUGGUGAACUAUGCGUGGAUAGGGUGAAGCCAGAGGAAACUCUGGUGGAGGCUCGCAGCGGUUCUGACGUGCAAAUCGAUCGUCAAAUCUGCGCAUGGGGGCGAAAGACUUAUCGAACCAUCUAGUAGCUGGUUACCGCCGAAGUUUCCCUCAGAUAGCAGUGUUGUUCUUCAGUUUUAUGAGGUAAAGCGAAUGAUUAGGGACUCGGGGGCGCUUUUUUGCCUUCAUCCAUUCUCAAACUUUAAAUAUGU
rnacentral:rRNA from 1 species